ACCUUCGUGGUGUAGCGGUCAAUACACUCGACGCGUAACCGAGAGGUCCGUGGUUCGAUUCCCGGAGAAGGCG
rnacentral:tRNA from 1 species